GCGAGUCUUUGUAGUAAUACAAGGCAGACGGCUCAGUAACACGUAGUCAACCUACCCUAUGGACAAGAAUAAUCUCGGGAAACUGGGCAUAAUUCUUGAUAGAUCAUAAUGCCUGGAAUGGUUUAUGGUUAAAAUGAUUCGUCGCCAUAGGAUGGGACUGCGGCCUAUCAGCUUGUUGGUGAGGUAAUGGCCCACCAAGGCGAUUACAGGUACGGGCUCUGAGAGGAGAAGCCCGGAGAUGGGUACUGAGACACGGACCCAGGCCCUAUGGGGCGCAGCAGGCGAGAAAACUUUGCAAUGUGCGAAAGCACGACAAGGUUAAUCCGAGUGAUUUCUGCUAAAGAAAUCUUUUGCCAGUCAUAAAACCACUGGUGAAUAAGGGGUGGGCAAGUUCUGGUGUCAGCCGCCGCGGUAAAACCAGCACCUCAAGUGGUCAGGAUGAUUAUUGGGCCUAAAGCAUCCGUAGCCGGCCUUGUUAGUUUUCGGUUAAAUCCAUGUGCUCAACGCAUGGGCUGCCGAAAAUACUGCAUGGCUAGGGAGUGGGAGAGGUAGACGGUACUCAGUAGGAAGGGGUAAAAUCCUUUGAUCUAUCGAUGACCACCUGUGGCGAAGGCGGUCUACCAGAACACGUUCGACGGUGAGGGAUGAAAGCUGGGGGAGCAAACCGGAUUA
rnacentral:rRNA from 1 species